AUUGAACGCUGGCGGCAUGCUUUACACAUGCAAGUCGAACGGUAACAGGUUAAGCUGACGAGUGGCGAACGGGUGAGUAAUGCAUCGGAACGUGCCCGAACGUGGGGGAUAACGCAGCGAAAGCGGCGCUAAUACCGCAUACGAUCUGAGGAUGAAAGCAGGGGACCGUAAGGCCUCGCGCGAGCGGAGCGGCCGGUGUCAGAUUAGGUAGUUGGUGGGGUAAAGGCUCACCAAGCCAACGAUCUGUAGCUGGUCUGAGAGGACGACCAGCCACACUGGGACUGAGACACGGCCCAGACUCCUACGGGAGGCAGCAGUGGGGAAUUUUGGACAAUGGGCGAAAGCCUGAUCCAGCAAUGCCGCGUGCAGGAAGAAGGCCUUCGGGUUGUAAACUGCUUUUGUACGGAGCGAAAAGGCUCUCUCUAAUACAGGGGGCUCAUGACGGUACCGUAAGAAUAAGCACCGGCUAACUACGUGCCAGCAGCCGCCGUAA
rnacentral:rRNA from 1 species